AAAAUACUGGAGUGUUCAGAAUAGUUGGAAAUCUGAACGUUGUAGCUCACAGGGAUUUGUCUAAAAUACGUUUACCUCAUUAUUUGAACGUUUACAUGAAAAUU